rnacentral:rRNA from 1 species
GCCUGCCCAGUGAAUAACUUUUAACGGCCGCGGUAUCCUAACCGUGCAAAGGUAGCGUAAUCACUUGUCCUCCAAAUAGGGACCCGUAUGAAUGGCUAACUGAGGGCAUAACUGUCUCCUGAUGCCCGCUAAUGAAACUGAUCUACUGGUACAAAAGCCAGUAUACACCCACAAGACGAGAAGACCCUGUGGAGCUUACAAACUUCCCCGCUACUAAACAUAACACCACCUCACGAGACCAUGUACACCCUAGACUAGCGGCCGUUUUAAGUUGGGGCGACUACGGAGCAUAACAAAACCUCCAAGAAAUUAAGGCUAACACACCUUCCCCUAGGCACACACGCCAAAACAACUAAUAGACCCAGUACAACUGAACACCGAACCAAGUUACCCCAGGGAUAACAGCACCAUCCCCCUCCAGAGUCCCUAUCGCCAGGGGGGUUUAUGACCUCGAUGUUGGAUCAGGACACCCAGGCAGUGCAGCCGCCGCCAAAGGCCCGUUUGUUCAACGGCUAACGUCCUACGUGAUCUGA